rnacentral:rRNA from 1 species
ACGGGUGAGUAACGCGUGGGAACCUACCCAGAACUUCGGAAUAACACAUGGAAACGUGUGCUAAUACCGGAUACGCCCUACGGGGGAAAGAUUUAUCGGUUUUGGAUGGGCCCGCGUAAGAUUAGCUAGUUGGUGAGGUAAUGGCUCACCAAGGCGACGAUCUUUAGCUGGUCUGAGAGGAUGAUCAGCCACACUGGGACUGAGACACGGCCCAGACUCCUACGGGAGGCAGCAGUGGGGAAUAUUGGACAAUGGGCGCAAGCCUGAUCCAGCCAUGCCGCGUGAGUGAUGAAGGCCUUAGGGUUGUAAAGCUCUUUCAGUAGGGAAGAUAAUGACGGUACCUACAGAAGAAGCCCCGGCUAACUUCGUGCCAGCAGCCGCGGUAAUACGAAGGGGGCUAGUGUUGUUCGGAUUUACUGGGCGUAAAGCGCACGUAGGCGGAUCGUUAAGUUAGGGGUGAAAUCCUGGAGCUCAACUCCAGAACUGCCUCUAAUACUGGCGAUCUAGAGUCCGGAAGAGGUGAGUGGAACUCCUAGUGUAGAGGUGGAAUUCGUAGA